rnacentral:rRNA from 1 species
AUUGAACGCUAGCGGGAUGCUUUACACAUGCAAGUCGAACGGCAGCGCGGACUUCGGUCUGGCGGCGAGUGGCGAACGGGUGAGUAAUGUAUCGGAACGUGCCCAGUAGCGGGGGAUAACAACGCGAAAGCGUGGCUAAUACGGCAUAGGCCCUAGGGGGGAAGGAGGGGGAUCGUAGGACUUUGCACUAUUGGAGCGGCGGAUAUCGGAUUGGCUAGUUGGUGAGGUAACGGCUCACCAAGGCGACGAUCCGUAGCUGGUUUGAGAGGACGACCAGCCACACUGGGACUGAGACACGGCCCAGACUCCUACGGGAGGCAGCAGUGGGGAAUUUUGGACAAUGGGGGCAACCCUGAUCCAGCCAUCCCGCGUGUGCGAUGAAGGCCUUCGGGUUGUAAAGCACUUUUGGCAGGAAAGAAACGUCGCGGGCUAAUACCCCGUGGAACUGACGGUACCUGCAGAAUAAGCACCGGCUAACUACGUG